GAGGGUAUAGCUCAGUGGUAGAGCAGAUGCCUAGCAUGCUUGAGGUCCUGGGUUCGAUCUCUAGUACAUCA
rnacentral:tRNA from 1 species